GACGAACGCUGGCGGCGUGCUUAACACAUGCAAGUCGAGCGGUAAGGCCCUUUCGGGGGUACACGAGCGGCGAACGGGUGAGUAACACGUGGGUGACCUGCCCUCAGCUCUGGGAUAAGCCUGGGAAACCGGGUCUAAUACCGGAUAUGACUCCAUGACGCAUGUUGUGGGGUGGAAAGCCUUGUGCGGCUGAGGAUGGGCCCGCGGCCUAUCAGCUUGUUGGUGGGGUGANGGCCUACCAAGGCGACGACGGGUAGCCGGCCUGAGAGGGCGACCGGCCACACUGGGACUGAGACACGGCCCAGACUCCUACGGGAGGCAGCAGUGGGGAAUCUUGCGCAAUGGGCGAAAGCCUGACGCAGCGACGCCGCGUGAGGGAUGACGGCCUCGGUUGUAACGUACUUCUA
rnacentral:rRNA from 1 species